CUCGAUCCCAGGCCGAGUUUUCGCUUUUAUAACGGUUAGGCAAACAACUGGGCCUGGUACUAGUUGUCUGCGCAUGCGUCAGUCGUUCGUCAGAUUCUGACGAAUGGAUAUUCUCGUUCACUUUCGUGACAUUUAUAUUCGUGUACUAUCGUGUACUAGAAGUCAGUUCCCGUUUUAUCAUUAUUGGAAUCGAUUGGAAUGGCUCUUAGCUGAAGCUUCUCUCUUCUCUGAAGCUUAUUCUGAAGACUGAACAACAAGGGAAGAGGUAUAAAGCUUUGUCAAGCUUGUUAAGGUCAGAUAUUUUUGUGUGGGCCCUAUGGCCGGCUAGGCUAUGCUAUCAAGUCUUGUUCAUGUUUGGCAAGAAUGUAGGUAGACUAUAGUUUCAUCAUUAAUAUGGUGGAUCAAGUGAAGAGUGUGAGCUAGAGAACUUGGUGCUGCCAUCAUCAGCUCGUCGACAAUGACACUAUAACCGAGAAAUUUAAUAUGUAUAGAUCUACACGUAUUUAAAAUGUCUACUUCUCUGUACAGGAGCAAUGGCUAAUAUCCAGCUAUCCCAACAGUGCUCCUCUUGGCUAUACUAACGGACGAGACUGGACAGUUUGAGACACAGGACUGGAGUAUGACCUGCUCAUUCGAGCGUUGCUGGGUAGCUCAGAGACAUCAAGAGAAUCUACGUUUUCUCAAGUAAUGAGUUACGAGUUGGGGCCUAGAAUCAGAGAAGUCCAGCAGCCUGCUAAAUCUUUUUGAAACGUAAUUUGAAGGCAUUCAAUCAUCCUAAAGUUGCCCUGGGUCACUGUAAUUGUGCUGCAGCACAACUGGCAACUCCCCAGGCCUUUGUGAAGCAGCUCCCUAUGUGCAUCUUUUGUGUACUCACUCUGUGCAUUUUCUGUGUACAAAUUUCUAUUAUUGAUUUAUUAAAUA